GAUGAAGAACGCAGCGAAAUGCGAUAAGUAAUGUGAAUUGCAGAAUUCAGUGAAUCAUCGAAUCUUUGAACGCACAUUGCGCCCCCUGGUAUUCCGGGGGGCAUGCCUGUUCGAGCGUCAUUUCACCACUCAAGCCUCGCUUGGUAUUGGGCAACGCGGUCCGCCGCGUGCCUCAAAUCGUCCGGCUGGGUCUUCUGUACCCUAAGCGUUGUGGAAACUAUUCGCUAAAGGGUGUUCGGGAGGCUACGCCGUAAAACAACCCCAUUUCUAAGGUUGACCUCGGAUCAGGUAGGGAUACCCGCUGAACUUAAGCAUAUCAAUAAGCGGAGGA
rnacentral:misc_RNA from 1 species